UAGGGAAUCUUCGGCAAUGGACGAAAGUCUGACCGAGCAACGCCGCGUGAGUGAAGAAGGUUUUCGGAUCGUAAAACUCUGUUGGUAGAGAAGAACGUUGGUGAGAGUGGAAAGCUCAUCAAGUGACGGUAACUACCCAGAAAGGGACGGCCAACUACGUGCCAG
rnacentral:rRNA from 1 species